AGAAAUAUAAAAUUUUAAAGAAUUUUAAACCAAUCAAAUCACGGCGGUCACUUCAUUUAAUGAAGUAGAAAAAGUCGGAGUUAUCGGUAAAAUCCCUGUAUAUUUUUAAUGGGACAAUACCGAGAGGAUGCAAAUCCUUGUAGAGACUACAAACCGACCUCUUGCAGAAUAUUAUUUUGUUAAGAGAAUGUAUAGUCCGUGCUAUUGGUAACAGUAGAUAACAUGCGUGAGACAGGUUGGUCUCCUAUCUGCUGCAGGCGUUGAUUUUUGAGAAGAUCUCUCUCUAGUACGAGAGGACCGAGAGGGACUGACCUCUGGUGUACCAGUUGUUCCGCCAGGGGCAUCGCUGGGUAGCUAUGUUCGGAAGGGAUAAGCGCUGAAAGCAUCUAAGUGCGAAGCCCAUCCCAAGAUGAGAUCUCCCACCCCUGGGUAACUGGGGGGUAAGACCGCCGGCAGACUACCGGCUUGAUAGGCAGCGUGUGUAAGCGUCGUAAGGCGUUCAGCUAAGCUGUACUAAUGGUCGAGGGUUUAACCUG
rnacentral:rRNA from 1 species